rnacentral:rRNA from 1 species
CAGCGACGCCGCGUGAGGGAUGACGGCCUUCGGGUUGUAAACCUCUUUCAGUAGGGAAGAAGCGAAAGUGACGGUACCUGCAGAANAAGCGCCGGCUAACUACGUGCCAGCAGCCGCGGUAAUACGUAGGGCGCAAGCGUUAUCCGGAAUUAUUGGGCGUAAAGAGCUCGUAGGCGGUUUGUCGCGUCUGCCGUGAAAGYCCGGGGCUCAACUCCGGAUCUGCGGUGGGUACGGGCAGACUAGAGUGAUGUAGRGGAGACUGGAAUUCCUGGUGUAGCGGUGAAAUGCGCAGAUAUCARGAGGAACACCGAUGGCGAAGGCAGGUCUCUGGGCAUUAACUGACGCUGAGGAGCSAAAGCWUGGGGAGC